UGUGUGUUUAAAAGAGAAAAGGAUAUAGUCUUGAGGGACUGUAUCAGGGAGAAAGGAUUUAAGACUACCAUGUCCACAAUUCACCCCUACAAAACUAAUAUUGUUCACUGAUGUAAUGAAGUCUGAGUCUUCAGAAGAAAUGAGCAACUGAAAAUUGUCUGAAUUUUCAGCUUAACCUGAAAAACUCUGAGUGUCCAGUGAAGGAGUGCUAAGCACAGAUGGAGCGAUGAUAUACUGGUCUAGGGGACUGCCCAGAUGGUUUGUUGCUUUGAGUAUUUGAUUUUGUGAAUGGCAAUAAAGCCUUUUUUAUUGAUCUCUGAAGGAUUAAUUUCUUAAUUUAGCACUCACUGGCAAAGAUGCCUGCAGAAAAAAAAUACUGGAUAUGCAUGUAAUGAAUUGCGGUGUUUAUAGUUUGUAUGAGGCACAAAAACCAUAAUCUGCUGAUUGGAGUUGAGUUUGAAAAGUGUUAAUUCAUGAGCUCUGACAUUCCAAUUAUUUUGUUAUUAAUAUGUUCUGCACCUACCUUUACUAUUGUCUUAGCAUCCUUUCAGUAGCCCUGCUAAACAACACUAGAUGCAGAUAACGGAAAUGCUGUAUCACUGUGCAUUUCUCUAAAGGAGGAGAUGGGAAAUUUAAUGAGCCUUUUAUUUAAUUUAAGGUGGCUGCUUUUCAAAGCAGAAGUACAGAGUGUUCUUAAAUUGUGCUGACAAGGGAUGUAAGAAGUGAACAAAAUUUCAACUCCACUGAAAGUUGAGACUUGUUCAACAAAUAUUUUUUGUGUAGGUCAUAUUUAUAUGUGCCUUGUGGCAAAUGGUUUCAUAUUUCUCAAAAGUGGUGCAUUAAUUUUUAGUUAUAAAUUAUUCUUGUUCUUUCUGCUGAAUGGACUUUGCCACACAGAUAAUAAUCCAAGUCACGUUGCUCUGAAAUUAAGCCAGAUAAGAGGGGAAACAAAUGAAAAGCACGAGAAAGUGCUUUCCAAGGAGUAACCUUUCACUGGUUAAAGUGAAACUGCCACUGAAAUACAAUACUGAUAUAACCUUGAUGUUGCAAUGCGUAGACCAAGUAAUACAAUGAUUUGAGAACAUCUUGCUUGCAAUGACCAAAAAGGCCAAUCUGUUUUUUAAAUCCAGACAGGCCUUAAGACUGAGCAGCUGUGUGGAUUUGCAUAUUCUGGGGCUGUCAAAUAUCAUACUUCACUUAUUUGAUAGUAAAUGCACUUCUGGUGAUGCAACUCAGCCAAUCUUCCUGUUGCACGCUGGAGAUCUCACGUUGCUGAUCGAGGUUUUGUUCUGUGUGCUAGAUUAACCUAGUAAGGAUACAGACAAUUUCUAAACUAUGCCUCACUUGUUCUGUUUUGUCAUCUGACACAAGAGGAACUAAAUGGGAAACCAACACCACAGAUCUUAAUGGCAACACUGGAGAUCAUGGAGAUCCAAAUUUUUUUUUUCCUAUCCAGAAGGUAAGAUACACAAGUCUUUGACAACAAGGGAUAUGAUUUUUGGUACUCCUAGUGAUUUUUCUUGGUUGCAUUAAAUAUCUACUAUUUAUGGAAAUUAUGUUCUGAACAAAUCAGAGGACACUUUUGCAAGGUACAUAUGCUAACUAGCUGAGUGAUAAAAAGUUAAGAGGGUGGAUUUUUAUUUAGUGGUAUGUUUUAAGUUGCAAUACGUAAUGACAUUGUUUACCCGCUUCAUUCUAUGGACUUUUACUUAUUGCAUAAAGUAGUUAUACAAUCAUUCUUGAGGCUACUUCUCAAGAGAAUUAUUUUCCUUUUCUACAUUAUUCCAUGUAAUAUAAAGAACAUUUCUUUCUAACAAUGAAGUGAUGUUCAUAUAAACAAAUAUUUUAAUAAGAGAAAAUGGAAAAUAGACUUUAGGCCAUUGAAAAGUGAUUAGUGAUGCAAAAAACUUCAGUGCUGGUUUGUUUGUUUUUUUUUCUUCAAACAAACUCCUUUCUGAGAUCUUUGCUAGUUAAUUUUUAGUGCAAAGUUAGAUAUCUUACUUUAGUGGAAGGGAAGAACUUUUAGUCUCUGGGCAUAAGAAUGCAGCAGAAAUUGAAUCAACAAUAUCAACAUUCUCAUAUUUCUUACCAACCUAUCAUCCUGCUUGUCUGGGAAUGUCUAUACUAAACUGUCUUCUGAAAUUUAUGUGGCUAUUAUAUCAAAAACAAAUUUUAGAAUUCAGUUGACUUCUUAAAGAGCUGCAGAUGGAGAAAGUAAUUAUCAUUGCUCUCUCUAAACUAUCCUUCAUCUGCAGCUGCUCAACUUGGGAAUAAUUCUCAAGUUAACAACAAUUUUACCCAAAUCCCUUCCAAUCUAAGCCAUUCUGUGAUUCUAUAAAUAUAUGCUUAGUGUAAAAUAAAACAGAAAAAAAUCAUGGAAAAUUGUAGGGUUUAAUUAUGAAGAGGAUUUACCCUUUCUAAGUCUGAGCAAUACUUGAAACUUAAAGUAUAAAGUGAAGUGGCAAAAUGAAAUGAUAGGUAAUGAGCUUGGGAUAUUUUUGAUGCUAUCAAAUGCAGCAUUGCAGCCAUUUCCUAUACACAGAGAAAAUUAGAUUUGAUAAUCUAUAAGAAGGUAAAACUAUAUACUCUAUAUGGCUCUAUACUAUAUAUGGCUCUCAGACCGUGCUUUCCACAUGGAGCUGUCCCAGUUUUGUGACUAAAAAUCAAUUAAAAUUCAGCCAGACAUUGCUGUCCUCUCUGAACCCAACUGCAAACUUUCUAAAACAUUUAAGGUCUUCAGAAUUUCUCAAAGGUUUUCAGAGAGAAAUGAUAAAGAAAUAGCCUUGAGUACAAAGGAAAUAGAAAUGAAGAUAUAUUUCAUUACCAGUAAUAGGAAAAUACUUCAAUAACAUCUGCAGUUUUCCUAAAAAUGGAACGUAAAUAAAUAUUAUAUAUGGUAGGAAAAUGAGUACUAUGCUACUGUCAGUCAACAGGCCUGGCAGAUAAACUGGAUUAUUAACUGAUGACAGCUACAGAAUAUGUCAUUCCUUGAAACGAAAUACUGUGAAAGAAAGAAUCACAGAAUCGUAGGGGUUGGAAGGGACCUCUGGAGAUCAUCUAGUCCAAUUCCCUUAUUAUAAAAAGAGAGGUACAGAAUCAGGGUUGAGAGACCACUAUUGAAGCUGUCUUGAUCACUGCUCUGAUUAUAUUCCCAUGUUGUUUUCAUUUUGUGAAGGGAAUCUGCUCUAGUUUAAAUUAUGUAAUGGAGGGUAGAGGGUUGGUGUCUCAAAACUCAGUCAACAUGCUUUUCAUUUGGUCUGGGGAAGAGCUAAAUUUGCUGAUUGCCUGAAGCUGAAAUAGUAACGGAGGUAUUUUCUCAAGGGAAAAUAUAUCCAAGCUUAAUUCUGAAAGGGCAAAAAUUGUGGCAGAGUAAGAAAAAGAGCUCACACUACAUUCACAGACAAUUACACUUUUCAAAACACAUCUGUGAGAACAGGCCAGGUAACUUAUGUCAGAUGCUGAACUUGAGCCCAUUUGCCUCAGGAAUUAAUACAGGAUGGAGUAAAAUAACACCUAUGGAAGUCCAUGUCUCACUUGUUUGUGGACGAACAAUGAGUUUAUGUGCCUGGCUCCUAUCAGUCCUGUUCCUCAUGCACUGCAUGGAUGACCACUGUGAAGAUGACCUUUGCUUUAGCACGUGCAUAAUAAGUCUGAGACAUCACACAGUGAUGAACUCACUGUCUAGGCACUGUACAGUUAUUGCACAGAUAUUUCAGUCUCAGAAAUCUGAGACAGAAAUAUGAACCCCUGGGUUGUAAAUCAACAUUUUUUCUCACUCAACCCAAAGUCUGAUGAAGCUCAGGUUGGCUUCAAGCCUAUGCACGAACAAUAGAGAUGUUUGGGCUGUGGAAAAUCUGAAAGUCUUAUAUCUCUGAAGCCUUCAAAGUGUGGAGAUUACAGGUAUAGAAAAGUGCAUUCUCAGGGACAGCUGAAUAGAUGAUUUUUUUAAUAGUUUUUUUUUUCUUUUUGCCUUAUUUUCUGAAUCUAAUGCACUUAAAAGAUAUGUUGUGAAAUGCUUAAUUGUGUGUGUUUGCAUGGUGUGAACUGUGAGCAUAGCUAGACAGGCAAUCUCUUUCCCAUCUCUUUUCAAGUUGGUAAAAAAUCAGGAGGUAUCUUUUUAUGUCAUCUACAAAUAACAAAUCUUCUUUAUAAAGUACUUUGCCAGGCAAAAAAAUUCACAUCUCCACACUGAUGUUUCCAAUGGUAGUAUCUUUCACACUACAAGAAAGAACAAGCCAACAAUUCUUUUUCACUUCAGACUACUUAACCUUUAUUCAAAGUUCUUAUUGCAUUCAUGCACUGAUUACAGAUGCCUGGGUUUGGUUUUUCUCUUGUUUCUUUCUUCACUGCAAAAAAGCUGUAGCAGCAACAAUAAGUUUAUCUAUACAUCAUCUUAUUUUUUCCUAUGGAUGUGUAUUUUUCAUUUAAAGAAAAUAUUUUUUUUCUCAACAUUCAGAAGCAUUGGAACAGAAUAUUAAAUUGCAGGUCUACUUCUAGAAAGGGCAUGAAAUUAUUUGUUGUACUGAGUUUUCUUUAAUCUUCCAAGGCCAGGUUGGAUGGGGCCCUGGGCAACCUGGUCUAGUAUUAGACAUAGAGGUUGGCAUCCCUGCCUGUGGCAGGGGUGUUGGAACUUGGUGAUCCUUGAGGUCCCUUCCAACCCAAGCCAUUCUGUGAUUCUAUGAUUCUAUGCUCCCAUGUUUCUCAGAUAAAUGGUUCAUACUGCUAGAAGGGGGCCAAAGAAAAGACCCAUCACUAGAAUCUCACUAUAACAUUCAUUCCAUGGAGACAGCUCUCCCUUCCAUGCCUAGCUGCCUCUGCCUGUGUGUGGUGUAUCCCUAAAGUUGUGACUAUUAAUGUAAUGUCAGUUCAAAACUGCUCUUCAUAAACUAAAUCUGAAUGCUGUCAUGGAAUGUACUGAGAAAAGUACCUACAGGCUCCAAAGCAAUGGUUCCAAACAGAACUUCAGUGCCAUCUGUGGCUCUACCUAAAUAGGAAUAGGCCUCUGUACCCACUUUGAAACUGAUAAAGCUGAUGAAAGACAUGGAAGUCCUCUGAGUCAGAAAAUGUUCACUUGGAAAGGUAAGUAAAAGUGAGUGAAGUUCUUAAUCUCAAUGCAUUUGAAAGUAUUUCCAGUGGUGACUGUGUUUGGCAACCAUAGUUCUUUGCCUUUUGUCUAUUAAGAGCUUUAGGAGUAUAUCUGAAGUAUUCCAGCACUUGCAAAUCAAAUAUGAGCUUUUCUUGUGAUACUUUAAUUUUCUGAUUAUAGUGGCCAUAAUCUCCUAAAGAAGGCAUUUUGCCUGGUAAUGAGUAGGCAGAAAUGCAGACUGGUGCAGGCCAGUUACACACUUAAAUACUCUUGUUUAGGACUUGGAUGCCUUCCUACAGAGCUGAGACUGAAUGGGACACACUCUGAGGGAAGAACAGUCCAAGGCAACAGACCAGCAGAACAAAAUCUGCUGCUUUCAUGCGCAUAAAACCAACUGGCUGUGAGUUCCAGCCACGUUCCUUAAUCAAACCAUGGGGCUGUGGUUUUAUUAUGUGUAAUGGUCUGGUGGAAUAAUUUGAUUAGUAAUUUUAACCAGACGUGAAUAUAAGGCCUAAACCUAUGGGAUAAUAGAAUUAGCCUUUGCAUUUUUUUUGUAAAGUGCCACAUGCUUCCAUAGCAAUUAUUUAUUCUUCCUCUUGUUUAGCCCUAGCUAUUGUGCCUUCUACAAAUUGCAUGACAUUGUAGAAAGUUACUUUUUUUGCCGUUAGUUAAGAUUUGCAAUGCAACUUGCCACAAUAAGCUUUUGUUUUCAGUUCCAGUUAUGCUUCUGUAAGUCUAAACUCAGGGAUAAAUCAUGUAGUCAGGUUUUCAUUAUAGUCUGAAAGAUUAAUAAAAUAAAAAUUAAAAUCCAACUACUUUAGAAAAAAAGUUAGAUGAAAAAUGCUGUUUGCUUAUAUUAGAAGUGUUUAAAUGAGAAACAUUUAUUAUCUGUGUCCUUUGAGGUAGAAGCUGGAAGAAUGGUUCAAAAUUAUUUCCCUGUUGUUAGGAGAAACUGCGUAAAUAUGACAAAAUCUAAGCAUUUAUAUUGAAAUUACCAAUGGAAACAUUCACAUAUGAGACAAAAAGACCAAUAUUUCUCAAUUUGUAUUCUGCUCCAGAAAAGUAGUUAAUGAUACAGUUGUCAUCCCUGGAGGCUUUCAAGAAAGGUGUACAUGUGGCACUGAGGUAUAUUGUGUAGUGAGCAUGGUGGUGAUGACUGGAGUAGAUGAUCUGAGAGGUCUUUUCCAACCUUAAUGAUUCUAUGAUUCUAAAGACUACAAUUUUUUUUUUUAAUAUAUAUAUAUAUAUGUACGCAUCCACCCACAGAAGAAAGAAAAUGAAUAAAUUGGAAACCAUGUACAAUAUUAUUUGUAUCUUUUUUUUCUAGAGGAAGUGGGUCAAAGAUGAUCUUUUUAAGAAUGGUUGUGGGAUUCUCUUUUAAAAGGAAAAAGAAAAAAAAGAAACAAUCCUUGGAAAACAGUGCUGUGGACAAUACUCAUAUUCACUGCAUGUAUUCAUAAGAUGUUCCUCCUCCUGUGCACAGAAUUAGACAUAUCUUCUGGAAGGAGAGUGUGUAGGCUUUUAUUGGAUAUGGGUUCUCAGUCACAGCACAUAAACACAAGAGUGCUGUGACAAGCCAGAUAUUUCAAUUCUUGACUUUAUUAUAAGCAACUUCUAGGUAGUAAAAACAAGUAUCCCAUAAAUACCGUCCUCUUCAUUCUGUAUCCAGUUUUGGAGUGUGUGCUAAAUACUCUAGAAAAUAUAGAGUAGCAUUUAGUAAGUCAGUGUUAUUUCCCACUUCGUUUUAAAUACACUAUUUCCAAUUAAUAUUGCAUGUACAAAUGACUCUGUUCUAUUUCUAUUCCUCUUUUCUUCCUCUCACCUUGAAAUCAGUGUAAUUUUAAAUAUCACAUCUGUCAAACUGGAUGUGUUAUAUUACUCCUAAGACAUAUUAAAACAGUUAAGCUUUUAUAUUGUUUCUUAAAAAUAUCCCAGCAUAGUAGCAAAUUUAAUAACCUUAGGUUGUGGCAGGAGGGACUAAAGAACAGGAAAUAAUCUAUACUUUAUAGCUUUGAGUAUCAAGAUAAUAACGUAUAUUAUUCAAUAUCCCCAUUGCUGAUAUGGCCGUUUCAGGAAUAGCAAAUUAGAAAAUUAAAAAUUUCCUCUCAUUUUAAUAUAUUUUAUUGACGUAAAACUUCAUCAUGUUUAAUCAGUUUUCUGGAAUGGAAAGAAGAAAGAUAAAAAGCUAUUGCUUGAAGAUAAACAAAGAAGAGCAAGUAAGCUAUUUAGUGUAGCAGUACUUUGUCUCUUUAAUGGUUUUCUGCUGUUUGCACAACUUCAUCUGGAGAGCAUUAAUGCAAUAGCAGUGUGAAAUAUAUGUCUGGUGAGACAUAUAAGUAUUGUAUCGUGAUUUUUAAAGAGUUUUUUUGUUGUUUUUGUUAAUUCUGGGAGCUUGUUCAAUGUAGACAAUAUGCAUUUGACUUUAUUCUUAGAUAUGUCUUAUUUGAUAGGGGUUCUUUCCAACAAAAAAUAGAGAAGAUGCAAAAGCUUAUAAUAAAGGAGGGUUUAGAAAUAAGGCUUAAGUCUUUUGCAGACAGCUUAGAGUCCUGACUUUUUCCAGCACUGAAUACCAAGUAGUUCCUUCUGAUUUCAACGUUUAAAAAUACCAUGAUUCUCAUUUCUCUGUCAUGAGGUAGUUAAAAUUUUGUAUAACACAGCCCUUGAGUCUCCUUACCUAACCUCGUGCACCAAGUUAUUUAUUUUUUCCCAUUAUUCCUGACUGACACCUCUUCCCAUCACAUUUCCACUCCUCCAUCUUUCUCUUGGCCACACAAUUUUGUCCCCACAGGAUGAAGCCAGAUUCAGAUACGCAGUGCUGAUGCCUGUCAUGUCUUCAUCAUGGGAGCACAGGGUUCCCAUCUUCCUGUGUGGGAGGGUACAGAAGGUGGAGAAAUAAGCUUAAGUUCCCUGCAGCACUUUUCCCUAGCAGCAUCACAGAAGGGUAAUGCACACUAUGUGGCCCCCGAUAAAAGGGAAGGGAUGUUCUCAUUCACAAAACUUUGCCCAGAUUUGUUACAGGAGGCAUCAUACAGCGCAGUGUUAGGCGGGGUUUAUUUUUGCAGCCUGUGAUAUAUUUGCACUUAAAUAUUUCAUCCGCACCCUUGCACUUCUCUUCCACUGAGCACAUUUCCUGUAACAAGAAGAUCUGUGGAAUUCUGUUUGCGCUUUGUCAGUAGGGAAAUUGCAUGAGAGUCAGACAUACCUCACUCCUGGGCUUGAAUUACGCUGUUAUCCUGCUGUCUGCUGUGAAGAGCUUUCAAGUAGACUGUUUGCCAUUAGAGACUCUCCGUGUGAAUUAUUUACUAUUGACAGAGAUAACCAGUAGGGAAUAUUUCCAUAGGGUAUGGAUUUAUAAUUAUGCUGUUAGCUUAGGGAUUAAAGCUUUUUUGAUGGCUCAGAGAGAGGGUUUUUGUUUGUUUGUUUUUAAACCAUAGGAAUUGCAUUAGGAAUCUGACCUAUCAUGUUGUUUCUGGCCCAGGAGAGGGAAUAUGGAAUGAAUAAUAAGAAUAAUCAAAAUAAAGCAAAUAAUUAUUUUCUCUAAAAACACUUUAAUCUGAUUCCGUGAAAAAAUAUCCAAAGCAGAAAUUUCUGCUUUAUUUUAAAACGUUCAUCCUGGAGACUGAUAUCCCAGCAAAAGGGCAGGCAGAAUGACCUGCUUAGGUUCUCCCUGGGGGCUUCUGUUAGAGGUCAGCCAGAUCUAAGCAGGAGUCAAUAAGCAGUAGCUUUAAAGUAUGGCAAGAAUAAUGUCAGCAUGUACAUUCCUGUAUUUACCAUGGAUUUACUGUGGUAUUUGUAUUAAUUGGUAUAUUUGUACGUGUGGUGGACUAAGAGUGUGGUGACUGAUGUCCUGUGAAGAGCAUGGCUGUGUGGUGUCCAUGUGCUGCUAUGUUUGUGGGACCUGGGCAUGAGCUAAGGGCAGUGCUAAGGCUGAGGUUUGUUCAGCUGAGGAGCACUGAUGUGGCAAUGCUGCGUUCAGGUUCUCAACUGGAGAAGUCUGCAUAUGAUCAGAAAUUUGUUCUUCUAGUGUGUAAGUCAAUGUGCAUGUGUCUGUCCCACAUUAAACUUUCUUGAAAAGUUUUAUCUGAAACCAUGGGAUUUAGCAUCUAAAUGAAGACUAUAUAAAGGGAAAGAGAUUUUACGUAGUGGCUAUAAAUGGAAAAUUUAAUAUAAAAUUCCUUACACACUUACCUCAUAAAUUUAUUUCCUCUGUAAAGUAUAAUACAUUUAAAAUACGGUAUUUCUAUAGUCACUUGACAAAUAAUGACAACAUAACAGAACUCAAAACAACUCUAGAAAAACAGCCUGAGAAUAUCCUCCAGCUCAAGGUGGGUGUGCUUCUUUAAACAACCUGAAAAGAGCUGACUUUCAAUAGUGAGUGAGUACAAAUGAGGUUUUGUAAUUAGACAAUCAUAAUGAUCCUUUUUUUUUUUUGUUUUUUUUUUUGGAAGGAAGAACUGACAGUACAACUGUCACAAAAUAUGGCAGGAAUUUCAUAAAACUGCAGUCCAGAAAAUGUAAAUUUGACUCAGCAGGAGGGCAGUCAGCCAGAAAUACAUUGCAUUAAUUUACAGACAAGUUGCUAGUGACUGUGUUAAACUAAUCCCUGUCUCUAGUUGUGCAGUGAAUGGGCUGUAACGCGGACGCCAGUGGAGCAGCCCGGUGGGAGCGAUGAGUUGUGAUGGGUGAGGCACUGUGCAUGGCUCAAAUGAAGUGGCUGCUGAACCAGCUGAAAGCCCACCGUGGUUAACCUGUCCACUGCCUCAGAAAAACUGCAAUCCAAUACUCCAGCCUGGAAAUCACAGCCAGGAGACUGUACAGCACCUUCUCAAAGGAUGAAAUAGCCCAGACUCCUGGUAAGCUAUGAAUGAGAAGACCACAGUGAUACCAACAGAGACAUUUUCUGAACACCUUUAUUUUAUUGUGAGGCUUAAAUUAUGUUGUCUGAUUUGUGAAGCUCAAAGUGAGGUAAGUCACAGCUAAGUACAUGGUUACCUGUCAACCAAAUACAUUGAAGUUGUUACUUAUAGCUGAUAAAGAAAUAUUAUUCCUAUAAAUCAAUUAUUAUGAUAAAAUGCUAGAGUAUAUAAAAUAAUAUCCCAUACAUUUGCCUAAUUUUAUAUGCAGUGCAAGAGGAGAUUAAGAAGGCAGAAACGAGGUAUGAGGAAAGAUGAAUCAUAGAAGAAUAAGACAAUACAAAUUAGCCUGAUCUUGUUCACACGAUUUCAAUAGAUUUUUCAAACUAAUAUAUUUAUACAUUUUUCAGAUGCAUAUUAAAAAUCACUUAUCUCUUCACAGAAUUCAGUAACAUCUUGUGGGAAUCACACUUCUGUUAGGGAAGUUUGAUGCUUUCAGAAAAGAGAAAGCAGAAGUAUAUGAGCCUGAGGGCGUCCAGGCCUGUUAUGAGCUUUGGUGGGAGCAGAGGAGGAAACCUCAGGAUCAUAUCCUAAGGCUAUAGGUUCAAGAACUCUCUGUACACCUCUUUCUUAACCCAUCAGUAUAGUAAGCUUCAUCAUUUUCAUAGGAAGAUUUUUGAAAUCGCUUCCAAUGUAUACUUGCAUAUAGAUGCUAGAUGAUGUUGCAUUAAAUCUUCAAGCAGAACUGAGCACAAAAGCAUGCUCAAAUGAAGCAUGAAAAUAUUGCUUUACUAAAGCCACACAUGAUGUUCCAGUUACAAAAUUUAUUCAUCAAGCUUCUGGAAAAGCUCAAUGUCUCUGUUUUUUUUAGCGAUAGUAAUCGUAUCUAAAUAAAACACAAGUACUUUUCUUUGACAAAGAGUACAUGAUAAAGUACUAGAUCCUAAAAAGGAUCCAAAUUCUAUCUAGUGCUGUUAGUCAGUUAUGCAAUGGAUUUUGACUAGAAACAAGUUAUGGUUCUCAUCCAAUACAUCUAUUUAGAAAAAAAAAAAAAAGAACAUGAAAUGCACAUUGCUGCUUGAGUCACCAGGAACUUAGGAGUGCUAUGCGUGACUUCUGAUGAUAACAGAUACUAUGUGCCACAUUUGACCCUGUUGUAUUUGACCAUUCUUGGAGAGCUGUUUCUAAAAUGUAUUUUGUCACUUUCAGCACAAAGCAUUGCUAUAAUCUGGUGUGAGAUGGCUGAGCUGAUGGCAUACUACAAAUGAGAUUUCCAGCAUUACAAGUGCUGAAUAAAACAUAUCUGGAAUGUCUCUGCUUUCUGACUCUGCAAGGUUUUCCUUAGUAAUUCCAAUGCAGAGGAAUUUUUUUUCUUUGUUUUUGUUUUGUUUUGUUUUGUAUUCUUAGCAGAGAGAAAUGGCCAACCUGCAUUCGGUGCACUUUGUUUUUGGAACAGAGAACAGUCAGCUUGACUGCCAUGACAUCUAGAAUACUACAGACAGUACUUUGACAGUGAGCUUCUGCAGACACGUCACCUUGCUGGAGACAGAAUUUUUAAUUUUAAGUAUUUGUAAAAUUACAGGAUGUCAGCAAAAUCUGUGGAGUUGGGCUGCUCCUCAGAUGUUGGCUCUACAAGGAUGCUUUAACUCUCAGUUCCUAAUUGAAAGCAGAAGAUUUUAGGAUGUGGAAAAAGGCAAGCAAGCAUCAUUUUUGUCUUUUCUUCCACUGAUGGCUGCGACUCAUUUUUUGCAUCAUGGAGUUUGGAUUAGACAUCAUGCUUUCCUUGAUCCUGCUUCUUUCUCUUUUUCAUGU